rnacentral:rRNA from 1 species
AUUGAACGCUGGCGGCAGGCCUAACACAUGCAAGUCGAACGGUAACAGGAAGAAGCUUGCUUCUUUGCUGACGAGUGGCGGACAGGUGAGUAAUGUCUGGGAAACUGCCUGAUGGAGGGGGAUAACUACUGGAAACGGUAGCUAAUACCGCAUAACGUCGCAAGACCAAAAAGGGGGACCUUCGGGCCUCUUGCCAUCGGAUGUGCCCAGAUUGGAUUAGCUAGUAGGUGGGGUAACGGCUCACCUAGGCGACGAUCCCUAGCUGGUCUGAGAGGAUGACCAGCCACACUGGAACUGAGACACGGUCCAGACUCCUACGGGAGGCAGCAGUGGGGAAUAUUGCACAAUGGGCGCAAGCCUGAUGCAGCCAUGCCGCGUGUAUGAAGAAGGCCUUCGGGUUGUAAAGUACUUUCAGCGGGGAGGAAGGGAGUAAAGUUAAUACCUUUGCUCAUUGACGUUACCCGCAGAAGAAGCACCGGCUAACUCCGUG